rnacentral:rRNA from 1 species
UGGGGAAUUUUCCGCAAUGGGCGCAAGCCUGACGGAGCAAGACCGCGUGGGGGAUGACUGCCUAAUGGUUGUAAACCCCUUUUCUCUGGGAAGAUGAUGACGGUACCAGAGGAAUCAGCCUCGGCUAACUCCGUGCCAGCAGCCGCGGUAAUACGGAGGAGGCAAGCGUUAUCCGGAAUUACUGGGCGUAAAGCGUCUGUAGGUGGCUUGGUUAGUCUAUUGUUAAAUAUUAGGGCUUAACCCUGAGACAGCAUUAGAAACUUCUAAGCUAGAGUAUGGUAUGGGCAAAGGGAAUUCCCAGUGUAGCGGUGAAAUGCGUAGAUAUUGGGAAGAACACCAGUAGCGAAAGCGCUUUGCUUGGCCUCAGCUGACACUGAGAGACGAAAGCUAAGGUAGCGAAUGGGAUUAGAUACCCCGGUAGUCC